GUUUGGUUUCUUAUAAAAGUUUUCCUCCUUGUUGUGGGUGCAGGAGGAGAAUUUCCCUAUCUUCUAAGCUGCUGAUCUUCCAGGACAGAGAGGAGCGGGUUCUUCUGAGCAGUGGCCUGCAACCAGGAAGAGGGAUCGUCCAGGAGCCCAGACAGCGGAGAAACUGGAAGAAGUGAACCUGAGCAGCCUGGACAUCCUUGUAAGCAGAGAUGAAGAGUCCUCAGCUUUCUGCCUUCUCCAUGACUGGCUUACCACAGACAAAGAAGUCAAGGGUAAGAGCCCACCCCCGUUUUGAG